rnacentral:lncRNA from 1 species
GAGGGUAGUGUGUACGCAGACCUUACCCCUACCGUUGGGUAGAAAGACUGUUUCCAAAUAGACCCCCGGCAUUCUUCCUUCCAAGAACUUCCCACCUUGCUCUUGGGGAGACUCAAACUCACAACCUCUCGGUUGGAAAUGGGGUUUGCUUACCAUCAGAGCAACCCCUCUUAUCCUUAUGGUAAUCACUCAUGGAAAACAAUUACUUCCUUUGUGAUUUCUAUUAUUCUACACUCUAUAAGGAUCAACAACCAUUUUUUAGAGAAAAGAGAAUAAGAGAAAGUUUAGAAAGAAAAUAUUUUAUUGCACACUUAAUAUUUUUUCCAGGGAGAGAAUUCGAUAUUCCUCCUGAACUUUGAAGGUCCCAUUUUAUAAGUAAAGAAGAUGACUAUAUACUAGUAAUACA